UUCCCCUUUUAGCACUAAAUUAGAUGUCAAUAGUGCACUGAAAUUGCAUAUGCCAAUAAAAUUUGUUUUGGAUAAUAUAAAUUUUUAUCCAGAUUAUUAAAACUAUCUGACAUAGAGUAGUAUUUAUUACUUUAUGUAAUAUUUACUCAGCAGAAUUUUUGCAUAUCCUCUUACGUCUUUAUCGACUAAAAUUAUAAAACAACUGUACAAGAUGGCCAGUGAGGGCGCGGACAGGAAGUAUACCAAAAAGGGGACUUUAGAUUCUCUCCAAUGUUUUACGAGGAAGCUGCUUAUAAUAGACAAAAGAAUUGAAAGAGCUAGCAAAAAAGGCCUAGGAAGAGACCUCGGGAGACUAAAAUCUUUAUAAUUGUGAAGAAUAAACCGUAAGGCAAAACAUAUCCUCAGUGAUAAAUUUAAUAUAUUUGCAAGGAUUAAUCCAUGAGAGCCUAAAUUAAACCAUGAUAGAAGGAAUUUUCCAGUAAUAAAAUAAAAUACAGCGGAAGCCAAAUAACACUUCCCUUGAUCAUACAACUGAGAAGAGUUGGCUGCUGAAACAUAAAAUGCUUCCAACACGCCGUUUGCAGCCAUAAACGGAAUAUACAUUGCGUACCAAGAUAAAAUGCUAGAGCUAUCAGGAGAAGCCCACUUACUUCCUGCGCCAAACAAAAGAACAAUGUCCGAGUAAUUACUUCCAAAAAGGAUAAACAAACUCAUAUAAGAAUAUAAUUUUAAAAUCCAUGCCAACAAAUUUAAAGCCUUUUUUUCAUCUUUUUUGUUCUUAUAAUGCGUUAACUGAGCAAAAACAAUGUGAGAAUGGUCCUCUACUGGUCGAAACACGAUUCUCGCCAAUAAAGAACCAUAAUUGGAAGCUAGCGCAUACGGACCUUGAGCAGAAGGAGAAGCAUACCAUGCUACCAUUAUCUUAUCGCCCUUUGUGAUUAGGUGUUUUAACAACACUUGAUAAGUAUGUGAACAGAUUAUUCGAAGAGUAGAACUAUCCCAAAAUAUAUACCUCUCGUUUUCUCCCACUUUGUGGAGAAAUAUGGAGAAUGGCUGUUUAGCAAAAUACCUUAAAGUAAAAAAAAUGGUUACUUUUUCUGACAAGUUACCGAGGGCAAAAGGAAGACUUGACGGUGCCUUAUUCCUUCCUAAAACAGAAAUUGCAAAGGACAAUAAAGAGCAAAUAAUUGUUCCAAGUCCUUCUGCUGAAGCAGUCUUGGAGAACUUCUGGCGCCAUUGAAGAACUUCAUAGUAUGGUUCAGAUAGCAACUCAAUGAAACUAGAAACGGUGUAAAUAAAAAUACAUGUUUUAGAAUAAGGAAA